rnacentral:misc_RNA from 1 species
GAUGAAGAACGUAGCGAAAUGCGAUAAGUAAUGUGAAUUGCAGAAUUCAGUGAAUCAUCGAAUCUUUGAACGCACAUUGCGCCCGCCAGCAUUCUGGCGGGCAUGCCUGUUCGAGCGUCAUUUCAACCCUCGAGCCCCCCCGGGGGCCUCGGUGUUGGGGGACGGCACACCAGCCGCCCCCGAAAUGCAGUGGCGACCCCGUCGCAGCCUCCCCUGCGUAGUAGCACACACCUCGCACCGGAGCGCGGAGGCGGUCACGCCGUAAAACGCCCAACUUUCUUAGAGUUGACCUCGGAUCAGGUAGGAAUACCCGCUGAACUUAAGCAUAUCAAUAAGCGGAGGA